rnacentral:lncRNA from 1 species
CGCUGGGAAAGACUGGGGGCUCACGGAGAAGCUGGCGAGGAGGAGGAGAUGGUUGGAUGGCAUCCCAGACUGGUACACAGACUCAGUGUGUGCACUGUACAACCUCUGUGUGUACAGGUUGGGUGUACACACAGAGAAGUACAUUUGAGUUCUGUUUGCCUGCUUUUUGCUUUCAUCCUGUCCUCCUCUGGGAUGGAAGAACGCUAAAACUUCCUCUGCAGAGCCUGCGGCCAAGACCAGCAGGGCGGCUCCUUCUGUGCGCUCAGCCGCUCCUGGGAGGAUACGCAUUCUCCUGGACAAGGCCUUGACGUCGUCCUGGUUGGUGUCCAGCUGCCUGGAAUGAAGACACGCACGCUUGAUGAACAGUCCACUGAUCCGCUUCAUCUUGUUUCUGCUGUGGGUUAUCCGUACGAGUGACAUAGUGAUGGCACACGGGGCUGCCUCCUCUCCUGAGAACUCGUAUUUAUGGUGUCAGCGCUGGAUGGGAUGCGGGCUCUCUUCUCUGGAAGACGGGCAGGAGGCAGAGGAGCUGCAAGUGUGGAAUUCUGUACAGUUGAGGCCGAAGCCAUCUAACUGCAGAUUUCUUCACAGUGACUGCAUUUUUAUCCCAGGUGGACCUCUCCUAAGUCCGUCUAAUUCUCCCACUGACAGCAAUCCAGAGCAGAGCAGACCCCAGUUCUGGAACUUCCUACACCUUCCCUGAACCCUGACGAGUCCAGGUGGCUCCCCCACUCCCCUUGCACCUCUGUCCGUCAUUCUUCAUAUGAAGUCCUUCGAAAGGAGGGAACUAGAGACCGAGAAUCCCCCUCUGCCAGCUGCCUGACCACUGACGCACAGCCUAUAAUUUAUCAUAAAAGGUUACCAGGCUUCGCUGUCCCCUUGUAGUAUUAAUCAGAUUGUUUUGGCAGUUUGGGUUUCACCACCUAUAAAUAUUCAUUACAUUUGGAUUGCUUUAUUAACAGUAACAUUUCCUUCUGUUUUUAGAGAAAAAUUUGUAUCAUCUUACCUACUUUCUAGUCCCGGUUGUGGCGUGAAGUUAGUUGAUGUCUUAUCAGAACUGUGGGUCAUAUUCUCAGUGGUAGGAUGUGUCUUAGUGGUUCCUAGACACCUGUGCAAAUUCAUAGCCUUGGGAGCGAGCAGAUGCUCCCAGCUCUAGGCAAAUAUCCCCUGCAGAGGGACUGCAGUUAUCUUUAUGAAAAUAAUUUUUUAAAAUUAGGAAAUAUUUUGAGCAUUCUAAGAAAAUAGGCAAUAAUAGACAUGUGCCUAUAUACCCACCAUCUUUAUAAAAUCUUAACAGUGUAGAUGAAGUGAAGGGCCCCUGUGUUCCUCUCUGUGACCCCAACCCCUCCCUGCAUUCCAGAGGUAGCCCCCCAUAUGCAUUUAUUGUCUAUCAUUUCUAUACAUAUUUUUAUACUUUUACAGCAUUUUAUGUGUCAUAUAUGUGUGCUAAGUUGCUUCAGUCCUGUCUGACUCUUUGUGACCCCGUGGACUGUAGCUGGCCAGGCUCCUCUGUCCUUGGGAUUCUCCAGGCAAGAAUACUGGAGUGGGCUGCCAUGCCCUCCUCCAGGGGGUCUUCCUGACCCAGGGAUCAAACCUGUGUCUCAUGUCUCCUGCAAUGGCAGGCAGGUUCUUUACCACUAGCGUCACCUGGGAAGCCCAUUUAUAUAUCAGUAAAUGUUAUCUAUAUUAAUGGCUUGCAGAUUUUAAAAAAUAAAUGGUAUCAUACUAUAUAGAUCUUUAUUUUU